CAAGUCGAGCGCGGGAAGCGAGCGGAUCCCUUCGGGGUGAAGCUCGUGGAACGAGCGGCGGACGGGUGAGUAACACGUGGGCAACCUGCCUGUAAGACCGGAAUAACCCCGGGAAACCGGGGCUAAUGCCGGGUAAUACUUUUCUUCGCAUGAAGGAAAGUUGAAAGAUGGCUUCUCGCUAUCACUUACAGAUGGGCCCGCGGCGCAUUAGCUAGUUGGUGAGGUAACGGCUCACCAAGGCGACGAUGCGUAGCCGACCUGAGAGGGUGAUCGGCCACACUGGGACUGAGACACGGCCCAGACUCCUACGGGAGGCAGCAGUAGGGAAUCUUCCGCAAUGGACGAAAGUCUGACGGAGCAACGCCGCGUGAACGAUGAAGGUCUUCGGAUCGUAAAGUUCUGUUGUUAGGGAAGAACAAGUACCGUGCGAAUAGAGCGGUACCUUGACGGUACCUAACGAGGAAGCCCCGGCUAACUACGUGCCAGCAGCCGCGGUAAUACGUAGGGGGCAAGCGUUGUCCGGAAUUAUUGGGCGUAAAGCGCGCGCAGGCGGUUCCUUAAGUCUGAUGUGAAAGCCCACGGCUCAACCGUGGAGGGUCAUUGGAAACUGGGGAACUUGAGGACAGAAGAGGAGAGUGGAAUUCCACGUGUAGCGGUGAAAUGCGUAGAUAUGUGGAGGAACACCAGUGGCGAAGGCGACUCUCUGGUCUGUCUCUGACGCUGAGGUGCGAAAGCGUGGGUAGCAAACAGGAUUAGAUACCCUGGUAGUCCACGCCGUAAACGAUGAGUGCUAGGUGUUAGGGGGCUUCCACCCCUUAGUGC
rnacentral:rRNA from 1 species